AUUGAACGCUGGCGGCAGGCUUCACACAUGCAAGUCGAACGAGUGGCGGCUGGGUGAGUAAUGCUUGGGAAUCUAGCUUAUGGAGGGGGAUAACUACGGGAAAAUGUAGCUAAUACCGCGUACCAUAGGAUGAGCACAAGUGGGAUUAGGUAGUUGGUGAGGUAAAGGCUCACCAAGCCGACGACCUCGAGCUGGUCUGAGAGGAUGACCAGCGACUCUGGUACUGAGACACGGCCCAGACUCCUACGGUAGGCAGCAGUGGGGAAUAUUGCGCAAUGGGGGCAACCCUGACGCAGCCAUGCCGCGUGAAUGAAGAAGGCCUUAGGGUUGUAAAGUACUUUCAGCGGGGAGGCGUUACCCGCAGAAGAAGCACCGGCUAACUCCGUGCCAGCAGCCGCGGUAAUAC
rnacentral:rRNA from 1 species